rnacentral:rRNA from 1 species
AGAGUUUGAUCAUGGCUCAGAAUGAACGUUGGCGGCGUGGAUUAGGCAUGCAAGUCGAGCGCGAUUCCCCGCAAGGGGAGGAAAGCGGCGAAAGGGAGAGGAACACGUGGAUCAUCUACCCCUCGGACUGGGAUAGCUACGGGAAACUGUAGGUAAUACCAGAUAACGUCUUUGGACCAAAGGUGUGAUUCCGCCGAGGGAUGAGUUCGCGUCCUAUUAGCUUGUUGGUGAGGUAACGGCUCACCAAGGCCAUGAUGGGUACCGGGUGUGAGAGCAUGGCCCGGCUCACUGGGACUGAGACACUGCCCAGAAACCUAAGGGUGGCGGCAGGCGAGGAGCUUCGGCAAUGGGCGAAAGUCUGACCGAGCGACGCCGCGUGCGGGAUGAAGGCCUUCGGGUUGUAAACCGCUGUCAGAGGGGAGGAAAUAUAGAUGGGUUCUCCCAUUUAUUUGACCUAUCCUCAGAGGAAGUACGGGCUAAGUUCGUGCCAGCAGCCGCGGUAAUUC